UAGAAUUUUGUAUCUUUUCUAAACAGGACUGUAGUAAAGUUAACAACAGUCAUCAACAGAUGUUUCCUCAACAUGUUAUAUUCUGUUUGUACUAACUUAGCUGCUGGUGAGACUAAUCUAAUAAAACUGCAAUCCUCAAGUCAAUAUAUAUGAUAUAUUAUUUACUUCAAAUAUGCUGUUUCACCGUAUGUUAAAUCAGAGCAAAAAAGGAUCUUCAACCAAGCAUUUGUCUGGCUGUUCCACUAUUUCAUGUUUACAUCAGUUACAGUGUCAGAUUGUGUACAGGUGCAGAAGGCAGCAGAGGUCACGGUUCCUUCUUAGAAGGUUUGAAUGAGUCCAUCCAUCGACUGGACCCUUUGACUGAUGCUCUUCUUCUUUAUGGGAGGAGACAAUCAGCUGAUCCAGGUUUUCUCUGUUCUUUUUCCGGAAAUGCUUCAGAAACAGGAAGGACAUUAUUUGUAGUAGUGCAGCUCCAUCACAAAGGGAAGAAGCAGAGGAGGAGUUUAACCUGUUCACUGAUGCUGUUAAACUGACUAAACUGUUUGUUUGUCGUAUAGCUGAAGUUCUACUAGAUAGAUAAAGUACAAAGUGCCCAGGUUCAAAUGCUGAUUCUGGCACCAGGUGUGUCCUUAAUCAAGGUGCUUCACACUCGCGUCCCACAUAGGACUGGUUAAAAUGCAGAUUAAUUUUCCCAGUGUGGGAUUAAUAAAGUUCAUAUAUAGUAUAUUAUUAUAUGAAAGCAGUACAAACAGCUAAGAUUAGCAUGUCUGUGUAUCAGUGUAGUGUCCCAAUAAAAUAUAUAGUGUCCUGCUGUUAUUUUGUUUUCUCCAAGUUCCCUCUUGUGUUUGUUGUUUGUGUCAUUUCCUAUCAUGUCAUUGUGUUCAUUUGAUUUACCUGUAGGUUUGAGUAUUUAAGCUCUGUCUAUUGUUCCAGCAGAUGCUGUUGUGUCACAAUCAUAAGCACAAAAGACAAGCAGUGAAUUUAUGUUUAGUUACUCACUACCUGUGUGUAUUUAUGCUGCGAGCAGUGAGUUUAUGUUUGUGUAACAUUCAAUAAAUGAUUGUGUAUUUCA